UACGGUAGGGUCCGAGCGUUGUCCGGAGUUACUGGGCGUAAAGCGCGUGUAGGCGGCUAAGUAAGUCGGGCGUGAAAUCCCACGGCUCAACCGUGGAAGUGCACUCGAAACUGCAUAGCUAGAGUCCUGGAGAGGAAGGUGGAAUGCUUGGUGUAGCGGUGAAAUGCGCAGAUAUCAGGAGGAACACCGAUGGCGAAGGCAGGUCUCUGGGCAUUAACUGACGCUGGAGGAAGCGAAAGCAUGGGGAGCGAACAGG
rnacentral:rRNA from 1 species